rnacentral:rRNA from 1 species
GGCUUCGGGAGGGCGGGGACUCUGGGGUCACCUCCCAUCCGUGUCUAUCUGUACCCUGUUGCUUCGGCGUGGCCACGGCCCGCCGGAGACUAACAUUUGAACGCUGUCUGAAGUUUGCAGUCUGAGUUUUUAGUUAAACAAUCGUUAAAACUUUCAACAACGGAUCUCUUGGUUCCGGCAUCGAUGAAGAACGCAGCGAAAUGCGAUAAUUAAUGUGAAUUGCAGAAUUCAGUGAAUCAUCGAGUCUUUGAACGCACAUUGCGCCCCCUGGUAUUCCGGGGGGCAUGCCUGUCCGAGCGUCAUUGCUGCCCUCAAGCACGGCUUGUGUGUUGGGCUUCCGUCCCUGGCAACGGGGACGGGCCCAAAAGGCAGUGGCGGCACCAUGUCUGGUCCUCGAGCGUAUGGGGCUUUGUCACCCGCUCCCGUAGGUCCAGCUGGCAGCUAGCCUCGCAACCAAUCUUUUUAACCAGGUUGACCUCGGAUCAGGUAGGGAUACCCGCUGAACUUAAGCAUAUCAAAGGCCCGGAGGAAG